UCUGUGUGCUGCUCUUGCCAGAGACAGAACAGGAAUGGAGUCUUAGAACUUUUAGGUGGAACUGCUGACACCUGUUGCUAGUAGGCCAGCAGGCUGACAUAGCAUUCCCAUGAGCUGGAUAAGCCUACUGGUGAAGUGAUGACGACUGCCAAGGAGGUGAGGUGCUGGGAGUAUGAAAGGAGGAUUUCGAGAGUGCUGAAUCCUCCAAAUGCAAGCAGUCUAGUCAUACGAGAUGAACAGGACAG